GUCCCGGUAGCUCAGCAGGACAGAGCGCGGCAUUGCCACGGGGGUCCAGGGGGCUCGCCCCCUGGCCGGGGUCUGGGGCUGGGCCCCAGCCAGACGAGCACGCCGAGGUCCGAGGUUCGACUCCUCGCCGGGACA
rnacentral:tRNA from 4 species